rnacentral:rRNA from 1 species
AAAUGAAUAGACGGGGACCCGCACAAGCGGUGGAUCGUGUUCUUUAAUUCGAUGCUAAACGAAAAACCUUACCAGGGCUUGACAUCCCGAGAAUUUCUGCGAAAGCAGUUAGUGCCUUUUGGAACUCGGUGACAGGUGCUGCAUGGCCGUCGUCAGCUCGUGUCGUGAGAUGUUUGGUUAAGUCCAUCAACGAGCGCAACCCUUGUGAAUAGUUGUAUUUUUCUAUUCAGACUGCCCCGGUAACGGGGAGGAAGGAGGGGAUGAUGUCAGGUCAGUAUUGCCCUUACGUCCUGGGCUAGAAACACGAUACAAUGGCUAGUACAAUGCGCAGCGAAGCCGCGAGGUGGAGCAAAUCGCAUCAAAGCUAGUCUCAGUUCGGAUUGGAGGCUGAAACUCGCCUCCAUGAAGUCGGAAUCGCUAGUAAUCGCAAAUCAGCAAGUUGCGGUGAAUACGUUCCCGGGUCUUGUACACACCGCCCGU